rnacentral:rRNA from 1 species
GACGAACGCUGGCGGCGUGCUUAACACAUGCAAGUCGAACGGAAAGGCCCUGCUUUUGUGGGGUGCUCGAGUGGCGAACGGGUGAGUAACACGUGAGUAACCUGCCCUUGACUUUGGGAUAACUUCAGGAAACUGGGGCUAAUACCGGAUAGGAGCUCCUGCUGCAUGGUGGGGGUUGGAAAGUUUCGGCGGUCGGGGUUGGACUCGCGGCUUAUCAGCUUGUUGGUGGGGUAGUGGCUUACCAAGGCUUUGACGGGUAGCCGGCCUGAGAGGGUGACCGGCCACAUUGGGACUGAGAUACGGCCCAGACUCCUACGGGAGGCAGCAGUGGGGAAUAUUGCACAAUGGGCGGAAGCCUGAUGCAGCAACGCCGCGUGCGGGAUGACGGCCUUCGGGUUGUAAACCGCUUUCGCCUGUGACGAAGCGUGAGUGACGGUAAUGGGUAAAGAAGCACCGGCUAACUACGUG